AAUUGGAGGGCAAGUCUGGUGCCAGCAGCCGCGGUAAUUCCAGCUCCAAUAGCGUAUAUUAAAGUUGUUGCAGUUAAAAAGCUCGUAGUUGAAUCUCGGGAUCAAUAUUUCGGUCAUGCCGUUGGUAUGCACUGUUAUCAUUGAUUUCUCACCUUCUAAAGAACCGUAAUGCCAUUAAUUUGGUGUUACGGGGAAUUAGGACUGUUACCUUGAAAAAAUUAGAGUGUUUAAAGCAGGCUCACGCUUGAAUACAUUAGCAUGGAAUAAUGAAAUAGGACAUCCGAUUCUAUUUUGUUGGUUUCUAGGAUCGAUGUAAUGAUUAAUAGGGAUAGUUGGGGGCAUUAGUAUUCAAUUGUCAGAGGUGAAAUUCUUGGAUUUAUUGAAGACUAACUACUGCGAAAGCAUUUGCCAAGGAUGUUUUCAUUAAUCAAGAACGAAAGUUAGGGGAUCGAAGACGAUCAGAUACCGUCGUAGUCUUAACCAUAAACUAUGCCGACUAGGGAUCGGAUGAUGUUAAUUUUUUAAUGACUCAUUCGGCGCCUUACGGGAAACCAAAGUGU
rnacentral:rRNA from 1 species